AACGUAGGACACAAGCGUUAUCCGGAGUUACUGGGCGUAAAGGGCGUUUAGGCGGGUGAUUAAGUUCGCUAUGAAAGCGCCGGGCUAAACUCGGCGAGGCUGGCGGAUACUGGUCAUCUGGAGUGAGUCAGAGGAAGGUAGAAUUCCGCGUGUAGUGGUGAAAUGCGUAGAGAUGCGGAGGAAUACCAGUGGCGAAGGCGGCCUUCUGGGACUCAACUGACGCUCAUGCACGAAAGCGUGGGGAGCAAACAGG
rnacentral:rRNA from 1 species